rnacentral:lncRNA from 1 species
CCCUACCAGGCAGGGGGUUGGAGCUUCAUGAUCCUUGAGUUCCUUCCAACCCGGGUCAUUCUGUGAUUCUGUGAUUCUGUGAUUCUGUGAUUCUGUGAGUCACCUAGAAACUGGAGAGUGGUGAAGGACAUGCAUGUGAUUAAAACAACCUUGGCUGUUAAUAGUCUAAUUUCAGAAUCUGUGAGCAUGGUUUGUGCUACUUCUAUGUGGAGAAAUGCAAACAGAAAGUGAGAGAUGGAUCCUGAAAACAUGAACACAACAGGAGUACCAACAGUCUCAUACAUACUCAAGAUCUUGUGUACAACUGGUAGCAGACAGUCUGCCUGAAAAAAUACAAAACAAUAGCCAUCCCAAUAUAUAUAUAUUGGAAGAGGUUGAACACCCAUGCAGCUGGAUCAGCUUUGUGCUCUGGGGUGAGUACCAGGGCUGUUGUUGCACUGCAAGGAGCCUAGGUGGAGGCAAAGGGUCAGGG